rnacentral:tRNA from 1 species
GCCGCGGUAGCUCAGCCUGGCUGGAGCGCUGCCCUGGUACUCCAUCUGGACAGGCAGAGGUCCCGGGUUCAAAUCCCGGCCGCGGCU